UUACCACCGGGAUGUUCAUAACCCUUUGUUGUCCGACUCUGUUGCCUCCGGGGCGACCCUGCCUUCGGGCGGGGGCUCCGGGUGGACACUUCAAACUCUUGCGUAACUUUGCAGUCUGAGUAAACUUAAUUAAUAAAUUAAAACUUUUAACAACGGAUCUCUUGGUUCUGGCAUCGAUGAAGAACGCAGCGAAAUGCGAUAAGUAAUGUGAAUUGCAGAAUUCAGUGAAUCAUCGAAUCUUUGAACGCACAUUGCGCCCCCUGGUAUUCCGGGGGGCAUGCCUGUUCGAGCGUCAUUUCACCACUCAAGCCUCGCUUGGUAUUGGGCAACGCGGUCCGCCGCGUGCCUCAAAUCGACCGGCUGGGUCUUCUGUCCCCUAAGCGUUGUGGAAACUAUUCGCUAAAGGGUGUUCGGGAGGCUACGCCGUAAAACAACCCCAUUUCUAAGGUUGACCUCGGAUCAGGUAGGGAUACCCGCUGAACUUAAGCAUAUCAAUAAGCGGAGGAAAAGAAACCAACAGGGAUUGCUCUAGUAACGGCGAGUGAAGCAGCAAUAGCUCAAAUUUGAAAUCUGGCGUCUUCGACGUCCGAGUUGUAAUUUGUAGAGGAUGCUUCUGAGUAACCACCGACCUAAGUUCCUUGGAACAGGACGUCAUAGAGGGUGAGAAUCCCGUAUGCGGUCGGAAAGGUGCUCUAUACGUAGCUCCUUCGACGAGUCGAGUUGUUUGGGAAUGCAGCUCUAAAUGGGAGGUAAAUUUCUUCUAAAGCUAAAUAUUGGCCAGAGACCGAUAGCGCACAAGUAGAGUGAUCGAAAGAUGAAAAGCACUUUGGAAAGAGAGUUAAAAAGCACGUGAAAUUGUUAAAAGGGAAGGGAUUGCAACCAGACUUGCUCGCGGUGUUCCGCCGGUCUUCUGACCGGUCUACUCGCCGCGUUGCAGGCCAGCAUCGUCUGGUGCCGCUGGAUAAGACUUGAGGAAUGUAGCUCCCUCGGGAGUGUUAUAGCCUCUUGUGAUGCAGCGAGCGCCGGGCGAGGUCCGCGCUUCGGCUA
rnacentral:rRNA from 1 species